rnacentral:tRNA from 1 species
GCCGGCGUGGCGCAGCGGUAGCGCAGCUGUCUUGUAAACAGCAGGUCGUCGGUUCGAUCCCGACCGCCGGCUC